UCAACUAUUACAUCAACUUCUUCGACCGUUCAAAAAGACAUUCAUAUUAAAAAAGAAGAACGUAUAAUUGCCAUUGUUGGUCGUGAUGGAGGUGUUCGUAAUUUUGAAUUACAUGGGUUGAUUUCAUUAAGAAUUUCGAAUGAAAUUUAUCAAAAAAUCAUUUUACAGUUUAAUUUUGAAUCUGGAAACAUUCCAUUGCAGACACAUCCUAAUAUUGAUAAGGAACUUUUCAAGACUAACCGAUUAAUAGGUUUGAAAAAUCCAACAAAACCAUUUCCAUUGGAUUCUGAAGUAGGGUUAUUAAAAUGGACUCUUCAGUCACAAGAAGAAUCAGCUAUACCGCUUUCAAUUAAUUGCUGGCCUAGUGAAAAUGGUUACGGUGGCUGUGAUGUAAAUAUUGAAUAUAACUUGGAACAUGCUGACCUCGAGCUGAAUAAUGUUACAGUCACAGUACCGUUGCCAUUUGGUAGUGCUCCAGUUAUUCAAGAAUGCAGUGGAGUUUAUAGUUAUGAACCUAAAAAGAAUGUUUUAAUUUGGUCAGUGGCUGUAGUGGAUUCGUCUAACCCUACAGGAUCUAUUGAAUUCGAAGCACCCAAAUCGAUUGCCUCUGAUUUCUUCCCAAUUAAGGUAGAUUUUAUGUCAAAAUCAUCUUACAAUAAAAUUAAGCCAAUGGAAAUUAGACUUGUUGAUGAUAGCACACCUGUAAAAUUUACAUCUGAGACAUCUUUAUACACAGGAAAUUACGAAAUUGUUUGAACAUUAUGAAUUUAUUUUUUUUUUGAACACUUAUUAGUUAUUUUAUUAUUAUUAAAAAUUCUUAUAUAAUAUAUUAUACAUAAAUAUUAUAACAUUAUGCUGUUUAAAUAUACAUUUUUUCUUUAUUAUUCAUUAGAAUUAUUUUGUGUUGUAGACAGUAGUAAUUCUUGAACUUCUUUUAAAUAAGAAAUCUGUGAUCGAACAGUGCUUAAAUAUUGAGGAUAUGUGAGCGAACUUAACUCCUGAGCUGGUAAUGGUUCCGUUCUUGUAGGAUAUACCAUUAGUGGUAUAUAGCGUUGACUGCUUAGACCUAAACAUUAAAAUAUAUACAUUGCAAUAUUAUUUCAAGUUAUCAUAACUAUAUUAGUAACUAUACUUUCAUAUAAAUAAAUACAUUUUAAAAGUAAGCUGAUACGUAUUAAAUAACUAAUGUAUUAUAGAUAUAAAUUAAUAAAUUAUAUUACUUUAUUAUUAAUUGAUAUUAGUCAAAUAGGGGAGAGGAAAUGUGGCGUGAACUUCACACUCAAUAUUGUAAUUAACAUAAUUAUUGGUAUAAAACAUUUUUGUAAAAUUGUUAUUAAUUUAUCAAUUAUUUAUUUUAUAGUAUAAAAUAUAUAUAUAUACAUAUAUUGCUUUUUAUAUUUUUUUUUUUAUCAAAAAUAAAACCAUAAAAUAGAAAAUACUCGUUUAUUGUCAAAGUGGUACAGAAGAGAAAA